UGAUCCGGUGGUUCUGAAUGGAAGGGCCAUCGCUCAACGGAUAAAAGGUACUCCGGGGAUAACAGGCUGAUACCGCCCAAGAGUUCAUAUCGACGGCGGUGUUUGGCACCUCGAUGUCGGCUCAUCACAUCCUGGGGCUGAAGUAGGUCCCAAGGGUAUGGCUGUUCGCCAUUUAAAGUGGUACGCGAGCUGGGUUUAGAACGUCGUGAGACAGUUCGGUCCCUAUCUGCCGUGGGCGCUGGAGAACUGAGGGGGGCUGCUCCUAGUACGAGAGGACCGGAGUGGACGCAUCACUGGUGUUCGGGUUGUCAUGCCAAUGGCACUGCCCGGUAGCUAAAUGCGGAAGAGAUAAGUGCUGAAAGCAUCUAAGCACGAAACUUGCCCCGAGAUGAGUUCUCCCUGACCCUUUAAGGGUCCUGAAGGA
rnacentral:rRNA from 1 species